rnacentral:lncRNA from 1 species
UUUUUUGUUUUUGAGCUAUGGUAUUCGAGUUGCUUCAAAGUCAAAUGUUGAUUCCAUACCUUCCCCAAAUGGUGUUCUCAUACUCCGAGGUGGAUACUAAUCCUUCUUGAUCAUUGAGAUUGUCAUGUCAAUCCUUUUUCAACCGGCGUAUUUCUCUUCAAGUGGACUCGAUCAUUUUCAACAUCCGCAAGAUCAACUCAAGUCUUCUCAACGGUGUUUGCUUCUUCCGUCCCAAGUUGCCUUUGUUUUUCCCGGCCACCCACCCUUUUUCUUCGAGGACUCAGAUUUCUAAAUCAACUAUCCAUUUUAUUCAUGUGAAGCCUCUUCAUCUUUUUGUUGGGUUUCGUAGUAAUUUCAAAAAAUUUCCUAUGCACACGCAAGAUCAUGUGAUGCAUAGCAACGAGGGGAGAGUAUUGUCUACGUACCCAACGCAGACCGACUGCGGAAGCGAUGACACGACGUAGAGGAAGUAGUCGUACAUCUUCACGAUCCAACCGAUCAAGUACCGAAACUACGGCACCUCCGAGUUCGAGCACACGUUCAGCUCGAUGACGAUCCCCGGACUCCGAUCCAGCAAAGUGUCGGGGAAGAGUUUCGUCAGCACGACGGCGUGGUGACGAUCUUGAUGAACUACAGUAGCAGGGCUUCGCCUAAACUCCGCUACAGUAUUAUCGAGGAAUAUGGUGGCAGGGGGCACCGCACACGGCUAAGGAAUCGAUCACGUGGAUCAACUUGUGUCAACUUGUGUGUUUAGAGGUGCCCCUGCCUCCGUAUAUAAAGGAGGAGAGGAGGGGAGGCUGGCCGGCCAAAGGGGAGGUGGCGCAGGAGGAGUCCUACUCCUACCGGGAGUAGGACUCCCCUCCAAUCCUAUUCCAACUAGGAUUCCCAAGGGGGAAAGAGGGAGAGGGGUGGCCGGCCACCUCUCGUAGUCCUAAUAGGACUAGGGGAAGGGGGGGAGGCGCGCAGCCCCCUUGGGCUGCCCCUUUCUCCUUUCCACUAAGGCCCAUGAUGGCCCAUAUGGCUCCCGGGGGGUUCCGGUAACCUCCCGGUAACCCGGUAAAAUCCCGAUUUCACCCGGAACACUUCCGAUGUCCAAACAUAGACUUCCAAUAUAUCAAUCUUUAUGUCUCGACCAUUUCGAGACUCCUCGUCAUGUCCGUGAUCACAUCCGGGACUCCGAACAACCUUCGGUACAUCAAAAUGCAUAAACUCAUAAUAUAACUGUCAUCGUAACCUUAAGCGUGCGGACCCUACGGGUUCGAGAACAAUGUAGACAUGACCGAGACACGUCUCCGGUCAAUAACCAAUAGCGGGACCUGGAUGCCCAUAUUGGCUCCUACAUAUUCUACGAAGAUCUUUAUCGGUCAGACCGCAUAACAACAUACGUUGUUCCCUUUGUCAUCGGUAUGUUACUUGCCCGAGAUUCGAUCGUCGGUAUCCAAUACCUAGUUCAAUCUCGUUACUGGCAAGUCUCUUUACCGUUCCGUAAUACAUCAUCUCACAACUAACAUAUUAGUUGUAAUGCUUGCAAGGCUUAUGUGAUGUGUAUUACCGAGAGGGCCCAGAGAUACCUCUCCGACAAUCGGAGUGACAAAUCCUAAUCUCGAAAUACGCCAACCCAACAUCGACCAUUGGAGACACCUGUAGUACUCCUUUAUAAUCACCCAGUUACGUUGUGACGUUUGGUAGUACCCAAAGUGUUCCUCCGGUAAACGGGAGUUGCAUAAUCUCAUAGUCAUAGGAACAUGUAUAAGUCAUGAAGAAAGCAAUAGCAACAUACUAAACGAUCGGGUGCUAAGCUAAUGGAAUGGGUCAUGUCAAUCAGAUCAUUCUACUAAUGAUGUGACCUCGUUAAUCAAAUAACAACUCAUUGUUCAUGGUUAGGAAACUUAACCAUCUUUGAUUAACGAGCUAGUUAAGUAGAGGCAUACUAGUGACACUCUGUUUGUCUAUGUAUUCACACAUGUAUUAUGUUUCCGGUAAAUACAAUUCUAGCAUGAAUAAUAAACAUUUAUCAUGAUUAUAAGGAAAUAAAUAAUAACUUUAUUAUUGCCUCUAGGGCAUAUUUCCUUCAGUCUCCCACUUGCACUAGAGUCAAUAAUCUAGAUUACACUGUAAUGAAUCUUACACCCAUGGAGCUUUGGUGCUGAUCAUGUUUUGCUCGUGGAAGAGGCUUAGUCAACGGGUCUGCAACAUUCAGAUCCGUAUGUAUCUUGCAAAUCUCUAUGUCUCCCACCUGGACUAGAUCCCGGAUGGAGUUGAAGCGUCUCUUGAUGUGUUUGGUCCUUUUGUGAAAUCUGGAUUCCUUUGCCAAGGCAAUUGCACCAGUAUUGUCACAAAAGAUUUUCAUUGGACCCGAUGUACUAGGUAUGACACCUAGAUCGGAUAUGAACUCCUUCAUCCAGACUCCUUCAUUUGCUGCUUCCGAAGCAGCUAUGUAUUCCGCUUCACAUGUAGAUCCCGCUACGACGCUUUGUUUAGAACUGCACCAACUGACAGCUCCACCGUUUAAUGUAAACACGUAUCCGGUUUGCGAUUUAGAAUCGUCCGGAUCAGUGUCAAAGCUUGCAUCAACGUAACCUUUUACGAUGAGCUCUUUGUUACUUCCAUAUACGAGAAACAUAUCCUUAGUCCUUUUCAGGUAUUUCAGGAUGUUCUUGACCGCUGUCCAGUGAUCCAUUCCUGGAUUACUUUGGUACCUCCCUGCUAAACUUAUAGCAAGGCACACAUCAGGUCUGGUACACAGCAUUGCAUACAUGAUAGAGCCUAUGGCUGAUGCAUAGGGAACAUCUUUCAUAUUUUCUCUAUCUUCUGCAGUGGUCGGGCAUUGAGUCUUACUCAAUUUCACACCUUGUAACACAGGCAAGAACCCUUUCUUCGCUUGAUCCAUUUUGAACUUCUUCAAAAUUUUGUCAAGGUAUGUGCUUUGUGAAAGUCCAAUUAAGCGUCUUGAUCUAUCUCUAUAGAUCUUAAUGCCUAAUAUGUAAGCAGCUUCACCGAGGUCUUUCAUUGAAAAACUUUUAUUCAAGUAUCCCUUUAUGCUAUCCAGAAAUUCUAUAUCAUUUCCAAUCAGUAAUAUGUCAUCCACAUAUAAUAUCAGAAAUGCUACAGAGCUCCCACUCACUUUCUUGUAAAUACAGGCUUCUCCGAAAGUCUGUAUAAAACCAAAUGCUUUGAUCACACUAUCAAAACGUUUAUUCCAACUCCGAGAGGCUUGCACCAGUCCAUAAAUGGAUCGCUGGAGCUUGCACACUUUGUUAGCUUCCUUUGGAUCGACAAAACCUUCCGGUUGCAUCAUAUACAACUCUUCUUCCAGAAAUCCAUUCAGGAAUGCAGUUUUGACAUCCAUCUGCCAAAUUUCAUAAUCAUAAAAUGCGGCAAUCGCUAACAUAAUUCGGACGGACUUAAGCAUCGCUACGGGUGAGAAGGUCUCAUCGUAGUCAAUCCCUUGAACUUGUCGAAAACCUUUUGCGACAAGUCGAGCUUUGUAGACAGUAACAUUACCAUCAGCGUCAGUCUUCUUCUUAAAGAUCCAUUUAUUCUCAAUUGCUUGCCGAUCAUCGGGCAAGUCAACCAAAGUCCAUACUUUGUUCUCAUACAUGGAUCCCAUCUCAGAUUUCAUGGCUUCAAGCCACUUUGCGGAAUCUGGGCUCACCAUCGCUUCUUCAUAGUUCGUAGGUUCAUCAUGAUCUAGUAGCAUGACUUCCAGAACAGGAUUUCCGUACCACUCUGGCGCGGAUCUUACUCUGGUUGAUCUACGUGGUUCAGUAGUAUCUUGAUCUGAAGUUUCAUGAUCAUUAUCAUUGGCUUCCUCACUAACCGGUGUAGGUGUCACUGAAACAGUUUUCUGUGAUGAACUACUUUCCAGUAAGGGAGCAGGUACAGUUACCUCGUCAAGUUCUACUUUCCUCCCACUCACUUCUUUCGAGAGAAACUCCUUCUCUAGAAAUGAUCCAUUCUUAGCAACGAAUGUUUUGCCUUCGGAUCUGUGAUAGAAGGUGUACCCAACAGUUUCCUUUGGGUAUCCUAUGAAGACACAUUUCUCCGAUUUGGGUUCGAGCUUAUCAGUUUGAAGUUUUUUCACAUAAGCAUCGCAGCCCCAAACUUUAAGAAACGACAACUUUGGUUUCUUGCCAAACCACAGUUCAUAAGGCGUCGUGGCAGGGGGCAGGGGGCACCGCACACGGCUAAGGAAUUGAUCACGUGGAUCAACUUGUGUCAACUUGUGUGUUUAGAGGUGCCCCUGCCUCAGUAUAUAAAGGAGCCAAGGGGGGAGGGUGCGCCGGCCAGGAGGAGGAGGCGCAGGAGGAGUCCUACUCCUACCGGGAGUAGGACUCCCCUCCAAUCCUAUUCCAAUUAGGAUUCCCAAGGGGGAAAGAGGGAGAGGGGUGGCCGGCCACCUCUCCUAGUCCUAAUAGGACUAGGGGAAGGGGGGAGGCGCGCAGCCCCCUUGGGCUGCCCUUUUCUCCUUUCCACUAAGGCCCAUGAAGGCCCAUGUGGUUCCCGGGGGGUUCCGGUAACCUCCCGGUAACCCGGUAAAAUCCCGAUUUCACCCGGAACACUUCCGAUGUCCAAACAUAGGCUUCCAAUAUAUCAAUCUUUAUGUCUCGACCAUUUCGAGACUCCUCGUCAUGUCCGUGAUCACAUCCGGGACUCCGAACAACCUUCGGUACAUCAAAAUGCAUAAACUCAUAAUAUAACUGUCAUCGUAACCUUAAGCGUGCGGACCCUACGGGUUCGAGAACAAUGUAGACAUGACCGAGACAUGUCUCUGGUCAAUAACCAAUAGCGGGACCUGGAUGCCCAUAUUGGCUCCUACAUAUUCUACGAAGAUCUUUAUCGGUCAGACCGCAUAACAACAUACGUUGUUCCCUUUGUCAUCGGUAUGUUACUUGCCCGAGAUUCGAUCGUCGGUAUCCAAUACCUAGUUCAAUCUCGUCACUGGCAAGUCUCUUUACUCGUUCCGUAAUACAUCAUCUCACAACUAACAUAUUAGUUGUAAUGCUUGCAAGGCUUAUGUGAUGUGUAUUACCGAGAGGGCCCAGAGAUACCUCUCCGACAAUCGGAGUGACAAAUCCUAAUCUCGAAAUACGCCAACCCAACAUCGACCAUUGGAGACACCUGUAGUACUCCUUUAUAAUCACCCAGUUACGUUGUGACGUUUGGUAGUACCCAAAGUGUUCCUCCGGUAAACGGGAGUUGCAUAAUCUCAUAGUCAUAGGAACAUGUAUAAGUCAUGAAGAAAGCAAUAGCAACAUACUAAACGAUCGGGUGCUAAGCUAAUGGAAUGGGUCAUGUCAAUCAGAUCAUUCUACUAAUGAUGUGACCUCGUUAAUCAAAUAACAACUCAUUGUUCAUGGUUAGGAAACUUAACCGUCUUUGAUUAACGAGCUAGUCAAGUAGAGGCAUACUAGUGACACUCUGUUUGUCUAUGUAUUCACACAUGUAUUAUGUUUCCGGUAAAUACAAUUCUAGCAUGAAUAAUAAACAUUUAUCAUGAUUAUAAGGAAAUAAAUAAUAACUUUAUUAUUGCCUCUAGGGCAUAUUUCCUUCAGUCUCCCACUUGCACUAGAGUCAAUAAUCUAGAUUACACUGUAAUGAAUCUUACACCCAUGGAGCUUUGGUGCUGAUCAUGUUUUGCUCGUGGAAGAGGCUUAGUCAACGGAUCUGCAACAUUCAGAUCCGUAUGUAUCUUGCAAAUCUCUAUGUCUCCCACCUGGACUAGAUCCCGGAUGGAGUUGAAGCGUCUCUUGAUGUGUUUGGUCCUUUUGUGAAAUCUGGAUUCCUUUGCCAAGGCAAUUGCACCAGUAUUGUCACAAAAGAUUUUCAUUGGACCCGAUGCACUAGGUAUGACACCUAGAUCGGAUAUGAACUCCUUCAUCCAGACUCCUUCAUUUGCUGCUUCUGAAGCAGCUAUGUAUUCCGCUUCACAUGUAGAUCCCGCUACAACGCUUUGUUUAGAACCGCACCAACUAACAGCUCCACCGUUUAAUGUAAACACGUAUCCGGUUUGCGAUUUAGGAUCGUCCGGAUCAGUGUCAAAGCUUGCAUCAACGUAACCUUUUACGAUGAGCUCUUUGUCACUUCCAUAUACGAGAAACAUAUCCUUAGUCCUUUUCAGGUAUUUUAGGAUGUUCUUGACCGCUGUCCAGUGAUCCAUUCCUGGAUUACUUUGGUACCUCCCUGCUAAACUUAUAGCAAGGCACACAUCAGGUCUGGUACACAGCAUUGCAUACAUGAUAGAGCCUAUGGCUGAUGCAUAGGGAACAUCUUUCAUAUUCUCUCUAUCUUCUUCAGUGGUCGGGCAUUGAGUCUUACUCAAUUUCACACCUUGUAACACAGGCAAGAACCCUUUCUUUGCUUGAUCCAUUUUGAAUUUCUUCAAAAUUUUGUCAAGGUAUGUGCUUUGUGAAAGUCCAAUUAAGCGUCUUGAUCUAUCUCUAUAGAUCUUAAUGCCUAAUAUGUAAGCAGCUUCACCGAGGUCUUUCAUUGAAAAACUUUUAUUCAAGUAUCCCUUUAUGCUAUCCAGAAAUUCUAUAUCAUUUCCAAUCAGUAAUAUGUCAUCCACAUAUAAUAUCAGAAAUGCUACAGAGCUCCCACUCACUUUCUUGUAAAUACAGGCUUCUCCGAAAGUCUGUAUAAAACCAAAUGCUUUGAUCACACUAUCAAAACGUUUAUUCCAACUCCGAGAGGCUUGCACCAGUCCAUAAAUGGAUCGCUAGAGCUUGCACACUUUGUUAGCUCCCUUUGGAUCGACAAAACCUUCUGGUUGUAUCAUAUACAACUCUUCUUCCAGAAAUCCAUUUAGGAAUGCAGUUUUGACAUCCAUUUGCCAAAUUUCAUAAUCAUAAAAUGCGGCAAUUGCUAACAUGAUUCGGACGGACUUAAGCAUCGCUACGGGUGAGAAGGUCUCAUCGUAGUCAAUUCCUUGAACUUGCCGAAAACCUUUUGCGACAAGUCGAGCUUUGUAGACAGUAACAUUACCAUCAGCGUCAGUCUUCUUCUUAAAAAUCCAUUUAUUCUCAAUUGCUUGCCGAUCAUCGGGCAAGUCAACCAAAGUCCAUACUUUGUUCUCAUACAUGGAUCCCAUCUCAGAUUUCAUGGCUUCAAGCCACUUUACGGAAUCUGGGCUCACCAUCGCUUCUUCAUAGUUCGUAGGUUCAUCAUGAUCUAGUAGCAUGACCUCCAGAACAGGAUUACCGUACCACUCUGGUGUGGAUCUUACUCUGGUUGAUCUACGCGGUUCAGUAGUAUCUUGAUCUGAAGUUUCAUGAUCAUUAUCAUUGGCUUCCUCACUAACUGGUGUAGGUGUCACUGAAACAGUUUUCUGUGAUGAACUACUUUCCAGUAAGGGAGCAGGUACAGUUACCUCGUCAAGUUCUACUUUCCUCCCACUCACUUCUUUCGAGAGAAACUCCUUCUCUAGAAAUGAUCCAUUCUUAGCAACGAAUGUUUUGCCUUCGGAUCUGUGAUAGAAGGUGUACCCAACAGUUUCCUUUGGGUAUCCUAUGAAGACACAUUUCUCCGAUUUGGGUUCGAGCUUAUCAGGUUGAAGCUUUUUCACAUAAGCAUCGCAGCCCCAAACUUUAAGAAACGACAACUUUGGUUUCUUGCCAAACCACAGUUAUAAGGCGUCGUCUCAACGGAUUUUGAUGGUGCCCUAUUUAACGUGAAUGCGGCCGUCUCUAAAGCAUAUCCCCAAAAUGAUAGCGGUAAAUCAGUAAGAGACAUCAUAGAUCGCACCAUAUCUAGUAAAGUACGAUUACGACGUUCGGACACACCAUUACGCUGUGGUGUUCUGGGUGGCGUGAGUUGCGAAACUAUUCCACAGUUUUUCAAAUGUACGCCAAACUCGUAACUCAAAUAUUCUCCUCCACGAUCAGAUCGUAGAAACUUUAUUUUCUUGUUACGAUGAUUUUCAACUUCACUCUGAAAUUCUUUGAACUUUUCAAAUGUUUCAGACUUAUGUUUCAUUAAGUAAAUAUACCCAUAUCUGCUUAAAUCAUUUGUGAAGGUGAGAAAAUAACGAUAUCCGCCACGAGCCUCAAUAUUCAUCGGGCCACAUACAUCGGUAUGUAUGAUUUCCAACAAAUCUGUUGCUCUCUCCAUAGUACCAGAGAACGGUGUUUUAGUCAUCUUGCCCAAGAGGCACGGUUCGCAAGUACCAAGUGAUUCAUAAUCAAGUGGUUCCAAAAGUCCAUCGGUAUGGAGUUUCUUCAUGCGCUUUAUACCGAUAUGACCUAAAUGACAGUGCCACAAAUAAGUUGCACUUUCAUUAUCAACUAUGCAUCUUUUGGCUUCAACAUUAUGAAUAUGUGUAUUACUACUAUCGAGAUUUAAUAAAAAUAGACCACUCUUCAAGGGUGCAUGACCAUAAAAGAUAUUACUCAUAUAAAUAGAACAACCAUUAUUCUCUGAUUUAAAUGAAUAACCGUCUCGCAUUAAACAAGAUCCAGAUAUAAUGUUCAUGCUCAACGCUGGCACCAAAUAACAAUUACUUAGGUCUAAUAUUAAUCCCGAAGGUAGAUGUAGAGGUAGCGUGCCGACUGCGAUCACAUCGACUUUGGAACCGUUUCCCACGCGCAUCGUCACCUCGUCCUUUGCCAGUGCCCGCUUAUUCUGUAGUCCCAGUUUCGAGUUGCAAAUAUUAGCAACAGAACCAGUAUCAAAUACCCAGGUGCUACUGCGAGCUCUAGUAAGGUACACAUCAAUAACAUGUAUAUCACAUAUACCUUUGUUCACCUUGCCAUCCUUCUUAUCCGCCAAAUACUUGGGGCAGUUCCGCUUCCAGUGACCAGUCUGCUUGCAGUAGAAGCACUCAGUUUCAGGCUUAGGUCCAGACUUAGGUUUCUUCUCUUGAGCAGCAACUUGUUUGCCGUUCUUCUUGAAGUUCCCCUUUUUCUUCCCUUUGCCCUUUUUCUUGAAACUAGUGGUCUUGUUAACCAUCAACACUUGAUGCUCCUUCUUGAUUUCUACCUCCGCAGCUUUCAGCAUUGCGAAGAGCUCGGGAAUAGUUUUGUUCAUCCCUUGCAUAUUAUACUUCAUUACGAAGCUCUUGUAGCUUGGUGGCAGUGAUUGGAGAAUUCUGUCGAUGACGCAAUCAUCCGGAAGAUUAACUCCCAAUUGAAUCAAGUGAUUAUUAUACCCAGACAUUUUGAGUAUAUGCUCACUGACAGAACUGUUCUCCUCCAUCUUGCAGCUAUAGAACUUAUUGGAGACUUCAUAUCUCUCAAUCCGGGCAUUUGCUUGAAAUAUUAACUUCAACUCCUGGAACAUCUCAUAUGCUCCAUGACGUUCAAAACGUCGUUGAAGUCCCGAUUCUAAGCCGUAAAGCAUGGCACACUGAACUAUCGAGUAGUCAUCAGCUUUGCUCUGCCAGACGUUCAUAACAUCUGGCGUUGCUCCAGCAGCAGGCCUGGCACCCAGCGGUGCUUCCAGGACGUAAUUCUUCUGUGCAGCAAUGAGGAUAAUCCUCAAGUUACGGACCCAGUCCGUGUAAUUGCUACCAUCAUCUUUCAACUUUGCUUUCUCAAGGAACGCAUUAAAAUUCAACAGAACAACAGCACGAGCCAUCUAUCUACAAUCAACAUAAACAAGCAAGAUACUAUCAGGUACUAAGUUCAUGAUAAAUUUAAGUUCAAUUAAUCAUAUUACUUAAGAACUCCCACUUAGAUAGACAUCCCUCUAAUCUUCUAAGUGAUUACGUGAUCCAAAUCAACUAAACCAUGACCGAUCAUCACGUGAGAUGGAGUAGUUUUCAAUGGUGAACAUCAUUUAUGUUGAUCAUAUCUACUAUAUGAUUCACGCUCGACCUUUCGGUCUCCGUGUUCCGAGGCCAUAUCUGCAUAUGCUAGGCUCGUCAAGUUUAACCUGAGUAUUCUGCGUGUGCAAAAACUGGCUUGCACCCGUUGUAGAUGGACGUAGAGCUUAUCACACCCGAUCAUCACGUGGUGUCUGGGCACGACGAACUUUGGCAACGGUGCAUACUCAGGGAGAACACUUCUUGAUAAUUUAGUGAGAGAUCAUCUUAUAAUGCUACCGUCAAUCAAAGCAAGAUAAGAUGCAUAAAAAGAUAAACAUCACAUGCAAUCAAUAUAAGUGAUAUGAUAUGGCCAUCAUCAUCUUGUGCUUGUGAUCUCCAUCUCCGAAGCAUCGUCAUGAUCACCAUCGUCACCGGCGCGACACCUUGAUCUCCAUCGUAGCAUCGUUGUCGUCUUGCCAAUCUUAUGCUUUCACGACUAUCACUACCGUUUAGUAAUAAAGUAAAGCAUUACAUCGCGAUUGCAUUGCAUACAAUAAAGCGACAACCAUAUGGCUCCUGCCAGUUGCCGAUAACUUGGUUACAAAACAUGAUCAUCUCAUACAAUAAAAUUCAGCAUCAUGCCUUGACCAUAUCACAUCACAACAUGCCCUGCAAAAACAAGUUAGACGUCCUCUACUUUGUUGUUGCAUGUUUUACGUGGCUGCUACGGGCUUAAGUAAGAACCAAUCUCACCUACGCAUCAAAACCACAACGAUAGUUUGUCAAAUAGACUCCGUUUUAACCUUCGCAAGGACCGGGCGUAGCCAUACUUGGUUCAACUAAAGUUGGAGAGACAGUCGCCCGCAAGCCAUCUCUGUGCAAAGCACGUCGAGGGAACCGGUCUCGCGUAAGCGUACUCGUAAGGUUGGUCUGGGUCGUCUCGUCCAACAAUACCGCCGAACCAAAGUAUGACAUGCUGGUAGGCAGUAUGACUUGUAUCGUCCACAACUCACUUGUGUUCUACUCGUGCAUAUAACAUCAACAUCAAUAACCUAGGCUCUGAUACCACUGUUGGGUUUCGUAGUAAUUUCAAAAAAUUUCCUACGCACACGCAAGAUCAUGUGAUGCAUAGCAACGAGGGGAGAGUAUUGUCUACGUACCCAACGCAGACCGACUGCGGAAGCGAUGACACGACGUAGAGGAAGUAGUCGUACGUCUUCACGAUCCAACCGAUCAAGUACCGAAACUACGGCACCUCCGAGUUCGAGCACACGUUCAGCUCGAUGACGAUCCCCGGACUCCGAUCCAGCAAAGUGUCGGGGAAGAGUUUCGUCAGCACGACGGCGUGGUGACGAUCUUGAUGAACUACAGUAGCAGGGCUUCGCCUAAACUCCGCUACAGUAUUAUCGAGGAAUAUGGUGGCAGGGGGCACCGCACACGGCUAAGGAAUCGAUCACGUGGAUCAACUUGUGUCAACUUGUGUGUUUAGAGGUGCCCCUGCCUCCGUAUAUAAAGGAGGAGAGGAGGGGAGGCUGGCCGGCCAAAGGGGAGGUGGCGCAGGAGGAGUCCUACUCCUACCGGGAGUAGGACUCCCCUCCAAUCCUAUUCCAACUAGGAUUCCCAAGGGGGAAAGAGGGAGAGGGGUGGCCGGCCACCUCUCGUAGUCCUAAUAGGACUAGGGGAAGGGGGGAGGCGCGCAGCCCCCUUGGGCUGCCCCUUUCUCCUUUCCACUAAGGCCCAUGAUGGCCCAUAUGGCUCCCGGGGGGUUCCGGUAACCUCCCGGUAACCCGGUAAAAUCCCGAUUUCACCCGGAACACUUCCGAUGUCCAAACAUAGACUUCCAAUAUAUCAAUCUUUAUGUCUCGACCAUUUCGAGACUCCUCGUCAUGUCCGUGAUCACAUCCGGGACUCCGAACAACCUUCGGUACAUCAAAAUGCAUAAACUCAUAAUAUAACUGUCAUCGUAACCUUAAGCGUGCGGACCCUACGGGUUCGAGAACAAUGUAGACAUGACCGAGACACGUCUCCGGUCAAUAACCAAUAGCGGGACCUGGAUGCCCAUAUUGGCUCCUACAUAUUCUACGAAGAUCUUUAUCGGUCAGACCGCAUAACAACAUACGUUGUUCCCUUUGUCAUCGGUAUGUUACUUGCCCGAGAUUCGAUCGUCGAUAUCCAAUACCUAGUUCAAUCUCGUUACCGGCAAGUCUCUUUACUCGUUCCGUAAUACAUCAUCUCACAACUAACAUAUUAGUUGUAAUGCUUGCAAGGCUUAUGUGAUGUGUAUUACCGAGAGGGCCCAGAGAUACCUCUCCGACAAUCGGAGUGACAAAUCCUAAUCUCGAAAUACGCCAAACCAACAUCGACCAUUGGAGACACCUGUAGUACUCCUUUAUAAUCACCCAGUUACGUUGUGACGUUUGGUAGUACCCAAAGUGUUCCUCCGGUAAACGGGAGUUGCAUAAUCUCAUAGUCAUAGGAACAUGUAUAAGUCAUGAAGAAAGCAAUAGCAACAUACUAAACGAUCGGGUGCUAAGCUAAUGGAAUGGGUCAUGUCAAUCAGAUCAUUCUACUAAUGAUGUGACCUCGUUAAUCAAAUAACAACUCAUUGUUCAUGGUUAGGAAACAUAACCAUCUUUGAUUAACGAGCUAGUCAAGUAGAGGCAUACUAGUGACACUUUUGUUUGUCUAUGUAUUCACACAUGUAUUAUGUUUCCGGUAAAUACAAUUCUAGCAUGAAUAAUAAACAUUUAUCAUGAUUAUGAGGAAAUAAAUAAUAACUUUAUUAUUGCCUCUAGGGCAUAUUUCCUUCACAAACAUAGGCUUCCAAUAUAUCAAUCUUUACGUCUCGACCAUUUCGAGACUCCUCGUCAUGUCCGUGAUCACAUCUGGGACUCCGAACAACCUUCGGUACAUCAAAAUGCAUAAACUCAUAAUGUAACUGUCAUCGUAACCUUAAGCGUGCGGACCCUACGGGUUCGAGAACAAUGUAGACAUGACCGAGACAUGUCUCUGGUCAAUAACCAAUAGCGGGACCUGGAUGCCCAUAUUGGCUCCUACAUAUUCUACGAAGAUCUUUAUCGGUCAGACCGCAUAACAACAUACGUUGUUCCCUUUGUCAUCGGUAUGUUACUUGCCCGAGAUUCGAUCGUCGGUAUCCAAUACCUAGUUCAAUCUCGUUACCGGCAAGUCUCUUUACUCGUUCCGUAAUACAUCAUCUCACAACUAACAUAUUAGUUGUAAUGCUUGCAAGGCUUAUGUGAUGUGUAUUACCGAGAGUGCCCAGAGAUACCUCUCCGACAAUCGGAGUGACAAAUCCUAAUCUCGAAAUACGCCAACCCAACAUCGACCAUUGGAGACACCUGUAGUACUCCUUUAUAAUCACCCAGUUACGUUGUGACGUUUGGUAGUACCCAAAGUGUUCCUCCGGUAAACGGGAGUUGCAUAAUCUCAUAGUCAUAGGAACAUGUAUAAGUCAUGAAGAAAGCAAUAGCAACAUACUAAACGAUCGGGUGCUAAGCUAAUGGAAUGGGUCAUGUCAAUCAGAUCAUUCUACUAAUGAUGUGACCUCGUUAAUCAAAUAACAACUCAUUGUUCAUGGUUAGGAAACUUAACCAUCUUUGAUUAACGAGCUAGUCAAGUAGAGGCAUACUAGUGACACUCUGUUUGUCUAUGUAUUCACACAUGUAUUAUGUUUCCGGUAAAUACAAUUCUAGCAUGAAUAAUAAACAUUUAUCAUGAUUAUAAGGAAAUAAAUAAUAACUUUAUUAUUGCCUCUAGGGCAUAUUUCCUUCACUUUUUUCUUUCAAGUUUCGAUCCGGUGAUUUAUCGUGCAGUCGCUAAGGAAGCUUCAAGUUCAUCAUUAUUCCUUCUCUUUCUUCUCCGGUGGUUUCAAGUCAAGCUUUGUUGAUCAUACCCUUUCCUUGUUUCAAUGCUUUCUCAUGCCGGUGCAACUCUUAAUCAUUCACCUCUCGUUUUUCAUUUGUUCUGGAGUGCUGAAGAUAUCUCAGAAGAAUUGUGUCUCCUUUAUCAAUCCGUUCAAGAUAUCUCGAAGGUGUUAUCUUAUUCAAACCAUUUAAUUCAACCGGUGCAUUCUCUCUUUUAAUCA